AUCCCCUGUCUAUAGUCACAUUUUUUUCUCUCAAUUGAUGCUUAAAAUUAUUUUGCAAGUUGGAAAAAAAUGCAGUUUUACUUUCAUUUGCACCAAAUUUAAUAGAUUAAUUAGGAGAGAAUAGAUCUCUUUAAAAUUGAGUCAUCUUAUCCAACUGCAAGUUUUAACUGAGGUGUUACCAGCUUAAGAAGUGAGACAUAUUAAAUGCUUCAAUACCUGACAUUUCUAUAUCAAUCCAAAUUCUUGUGCUUGUUUCUCAUUUCUGUGGACUUCGUUCUUCAAAAGUACUGCAUGUUUCAUAAGCAAGGACCAAAGAGACUUUGUCUACAGGUGGUGAACAUGUGUACAAGAGGAUCAUCAAUACCUUCUGCGGUGGUACCAUGCACAGAAUAAUGACUCAAUUGCUGUCAUUUAUUUCCCCUUUUUGAAGCUCAUUGCAUCUUUAUAUCUCAAAAGGCACAAGUUUUAUAUAUGUAUCACCAGGAAUAGAAGUGGUCUGCUUUUUGGCAAGUAAUUGCCCAGCGUGUUAAGUACUUCUUUGUUCUCUGAGUAUAUCUUAUGCUUUCCUCUAUUGUUAUUUACCUCAUUGAUUUUUUUUUCUCUAUGUUUUACUUUAGAAGUGGGAGUAAGAUUUGUAUGUGGUAAAUGUAGUUAAUGCAAUCCUAUGGACACCUUGGUCACACUAAAGCAUUAUAACCAGGCUUUCUCACAAGCCAAGUACCUCCCACCUGCCAGUUGGAUACCAUUUGUAAAAUACUUUGUUCCUCAUUUGAAUCAUGAGCCCACAGUUUUCAGAGAGGUCCCAAAGAAGAUCCUCUUCAAACAUUUGUGUUACCUGAAAAUAGACCAUUUGUAGUUUUCCUUUUUAUGGAACCUAGUAGGUCUUCCUCUAGAACAGGAUCUGAGCCUGACCAUAGUUGACGAUUUCCUUAGUGUUCAAAUUUAAGACUCAGAUGCUACCACAAUUCUGGUUAUGUAAGGAAGAGCCAGACUCUUGCACUGACAUUUUCAGGCAUGGUGAUGCCAUCCUGUAGAACACACGGUUCUAUCAUUUUAUUGCUGUUACUGGAAUUGGACCAAAAAACACAAGCAACAAAGGUAUUUCACUUUCAUUCACAUUAUCUUGAUUUUCAUUCAUUUUCUAUUUAACCUAAAUGGGCUUAGUAUAGAUGGCUGUGUUUAUUGGAAGUUUUAAUUGACCAUUCUGGAACAUAAACUGCACUCCCAUCAGAGAACUAUGAAGUGCAUUGUCCAACCUGUCUCAGUAGACAAGUUUGACCCCUAGUACAUUGAAUCAGGGCCAUAAGGAAUGAAUGGGUUAUUAAACAAUUUAGAGCAAAAUGUGGUCAUUCAUUCUCCCAUCUUUCAUUCCUACUUCCUAAGUGUGUCAAGAGUUAAUCAGUUGUGCUAGUGGUCUAUAACAUUUCUAAGCUUAUAUAAGUUAUCUGGAAUUUAUUUUAUAUAUAUGACAUCAUUAUGGUUUUACAACUGUAUUUUUUCUUUAUUAUAUUGUGGACAUAUUUCUAAACCAAUAAAUGUAGCUUACCUACAAACUUUUCAUUGGAUGUAAAGUAAAUAUCAUAAUGGGUUUAUCCAUUUCUCUAUCUUGGGAAAUGCAGAUUAAAUGUUUAUUUUUGUUGCUGCAUAAAGUGUUUUAAUGUAUAUAAUUAUGUUUUAUAUAUAUACAUUAUAAUAUAUAUAAUAUUAUAUUAAAGCACUUGGGAUUCUAUUUCUGUAAGAUAGAUUUUUAGUUGUGGCAUUGUUGGAUCAUCAGUUCUGCAUACUUUUGAUUUCAGUAGAUACUGUGAAAUUGCCAGCACACAGCUGUGGUGUCAUGGCAGUGCAUAAUGUUCAUAAAAAUCUGUACAGGGUAUAUAUUAUCAAUCCUUUAAAUUUUUAACCAAUCUAAUAGGUGAAAACCAUAUUUUUAACUUAAGUAUAAUUUAAACAGUAAAUGGCCAUGGAUUAAAAAAAAAGACCAAAAUGGGUAUAUUAUUUAUUUAAGAAAGAAAAAAAAACAAUAGUACCCAUUCCCUCCAAUCACAAGGGUCAUCCUGUUUGUUUAGAGGUAGAAACCAUUGACCUUUUCUCUGUGCAGUGCUUCUUGGAGGUACAUACACUUCUUUUUUUUUUAAGAUUUUAUAUAUUUGUCAGAGAGAGGGAGAGAACACAAGCAGGGGGAGCAGCAAGCAGAAGGAGAGGGAGAAGCAGGCUCCCCAUUGAGCAGGGAGCCCUAUGCUGGGCUGGAUCAAUCCCAGGAUCCUGACCAGAGUUGAUGUUUUCCUAAGUGCUCAAGUUUAAGACUCAGACUCAUGACCUGAGCAGAAGGCAGAUGCUUAACCAACUGAGCCAUCCAGGUGCCCCUGUACAUAAAGUUCUUAAGCAUACCUUAUACCAGUGUGUUUUUUGUCUUUGUUUUACCUUUUAUGUUUGAAACAAUUUUAAAUUUAGAGUGGCAAGAAACAUAUAGAGACCCCCUCAGACACUCUUACCCAGACUUUUUCUCUACAUUGUUUUUUUCUUUUUUUCUUAUUUUCCUGCUCUUCCUCCUUCAUCCCUCCUUCCCUCUCUUUUUCUAUCUCUUCUCUCUCUCUCUCCCCCACCUUAUGUUGUUCUUACUUUAUUAAAUAUUUGUGAAUAAGGUAGAGAUAUUAUGUCACUGUAACCCAAAAUACCUCAGCAUUCACUUCCUGAGAGCCUGCAAAUCCUCUUAUCUUAACUCUGGUACAGUUUUUUAAAUCAGGAAAUUUAUUAGCAGUACUAACAUAUUAUAUUAAUAUACAGUCUAUUAUUAGAUUUCACCAGUUCUAAUACUGUUCUUUAUGGCCAUUUCUUUCAUCCUUUAGGACCUGGAAAAAGAUUCUGUAUUGUAUUCAAGUGUCAUGUUUCUCUAGUCUCAUUUAAUCUGGAGCAGUUUCUCAUUCAUUUUUGUCUUCUGAUGACAUCAGUAAUUCUUGAAAAAGUAUUGGCUAAUAGUUUUUGAAGGAUCUCUCAAAUUUGAAUUUUUUUCAGCUUCCUCCUGAAUAGGUUUAGGUUAUGCAAAUUUGGCAAGAAUAUUUCAUAACUUAUGUCUGUCUACCUCAGUGAUUCACAACAGGUGGAAAAUAUCAUUUUAUCCUAUUAUUAAUGGCAUUAAUUUUUAUCACUUGGUUCAGUUGAUAUCCACUAGAUUUAUCCACUUUAAAGUUAACAUUCUUUUUUAAUUAGUAAAUAUUCUGUAGGGAAAUCAUUUGAAACUAUGUAAAUUUCCUAUUUCUCAUCAAACUUUUAUGCUAGUAGUUUUAGCAAUUACAGAUGAUUCUUAGGGAGAAUCAUUGGUGAUUUUUCAAAAUCUCUGUUACUGGUGUUAGUUACUACAUAUUAGUUGGUAUUCUCGUAGGAGGAAUUUGUGCAUAAUGGCUUGUGGGAAAUGUUCAACAAAGUGUUUACUGAAAAUAGCGAAAAAAUGAGAUGGUGGACAAAGCAGGGAAGAGUUAAAGGGUUUAAUGAAGUUUAUGUCUAACUAUGGAGUGAAAUGGAGGUGGCGGGUAGAACUUUUUUAGAGCUGGUUGAUUAAAGGCAUUCACAUGGCAGAAGAGCAUGUUUUUGUUGUUGUUUUUUAAAGAUUUUAUUUAUUUAUUUGACACAGAGAGAGAGCGCGCAUGAGCAGGGAGAGUGGCAGGCAGAGGGAGAAGGAGAAGCAGACUCUCUUCAGAGCAGGGGGACCCUGAUGUGGGACUUGAUCCCAGGACCCCAGAAUCAUGGCCUGAGCCAAAGGCAGUCGCUUAACCACCCAGGCACUUGAGAAGAGCAUGUUUUUAGCAAUAAGUUCCAGCAAGGGAAUAUGAUGGUGCCAUCAUUAUUGGCAAGGUGUUCAACGGUGGUUUUUAAAUUUUUUUUGAACUGUGAGGCAUGGCAGUGGUGUCCAGGUUCAGAUGCACUUAAUAUUCUAUGUAGAUGGUAAAUCAACAAUGUUCCUCUUUUUCUUCUUCAUUGCUUUAAGUUUCCAUAACCCUAUACAGAGUUUGAGACUGAUGGUGAAGGAACUUUAUUUGAGGUGCUAUCUAAAGAUGAACACUCAGCUUUCUGAGUAUUUUUUUAAAGAUUUUAUUUAUUCAUGAAAGACACAGAGAGAGAGAGAGAGGAAGAGGGAGA